rnacentral:rRNA from 1 species
AGUGAACGCUGGCGGCAGGCCUAACACAUGCAAGUCGAACGGCAGCGCAGCAGUAGCAAUACUGUGGGCGGCGAGUGGCGGACGGGUGAGGAAUACAUCGGAAUCUACCUUGUCGUGGGGGAUAACGUAGGGAAACUUACGCUAAUACCGCAUACGACCUACGGGUGAAAGCGGCGGACCGCAAGGCGUCGCGCGAUUGGAUGAGCCGAUGUCCGAUUAGCUAGUUGGCGGGGUAAAGGCCCACCAAGGCGACGAUCGGUAGCUGGUCUGAGAGGAGGAUCAGCCACACUGGAACUGAGACACGGUCCAGACUCCUACGGGAGGCAGCAGUGGGGAAUAUUGGACAAUGGGCGCAAGCCUGAUCCAGCCAUGCCGCGUGUGUGAAGAAGGCCUUCGGGUUGUAAAGCUCUUUCGGCCGGGAAGAAAUCGCACAGGCUAAUACUCUGUGUGGAUGACGGUACCGGCAUAAGAAGCACCGGCUAACUACGUGCCAGCAGCCGCGGUAAAAC